CACAAUUUUCUAUCUAUAUGUCUUGACCAAAUCUUGUGCCAGCAGUCGCGGCAACACAAGGGAGACUAGUGUUAUUCAUCUUUAUUAGGUUUAAAGGGUACCUAGACGGUAUAUCAAGCCCCAAAAGGGCAACGGGUAUACUAGAGUUUUAUGUGAGAGGCAAAUAUAGUACUAUUGGUGUAGAGAUAAAAUUCAUUGAUACCUCUAGGCACGGGUAACGGAGAAGGCAAUCCUUCUAUGUAAAAACUGACGUUGAGGGACGAAGGCUUGGGGAGCGAAUAGGAUUAGAUACCCUCGUAGUCCAGGCAGACAAUUAUGAAUGUCAUAGAUUAGAUUAUAAUAGUAAGAAAUAAGAAAGAGAGUAAGAUAAUUACUAAAAAAAAAAAGGGUUAGAUGUCUUCACCUCCCUAUUUUUUUUGAUCUAUAAAUGAAAGUGUAAGCAUUCCACCUCAAGAGUAAUGCGGCAACGCAGGAACUGAAAUCAUUAGACCGUUUCUGAAACCAGUAGUGAAGUAUGUUAUUUAAUUCGU
rnacentral:rRNA from 1 species